AGAAGAAGAAGAAGAAGAAAAAGAAAAAAAGCCCGCGCAUCGCUGCCUCGCGCGGCCCGCGCCACCCGGAGACAGGCAGCGGUACGGAGGGAUGUCAGUCUGCCAGGCAGCGAGUGGGAUGAGACGAUCCGCCCGCGGAUCACACGCGCUGACAGCUCCACACAUACUGUAUCGUGUCGGCAUCACAGGGGGAGCGUGGCGCCGUCCCGGUUUCGGCUGCUCCCCGUUUCUGGCAGCGCACUCAGAACGGUCUGAUCCAAGUCUUUUGUCGGGGACGGAACUUGGCAGCUGGCUGAAAAAUGAGCACCCCUGGGCGUUAAACGAUGGGAUGGAGCAGAGGACGAACGGUGGACGCGCAGACUGGACGGGAACCAUUCUUCUUGAACAAAGGAGGCGUAGACCUGAUACGAGGAGUCUGCCACAACGUUAAAACUGAAGCUCCUACUUCGACGGAGCAAAGACAGACGGGGCCUCGUGUCUGGGCGCAUUUCCUUAACGCAGCAUCCAACCCAGAUGUCUGGAGACUCAGAAGUAAGCACUGAUAAACAGCCCUCACGUCUGUAAUCAAACAUCAUGGAUUAUUUAAUGUACAGAUGCUCGGUGCUGCGGCCGGACUGUAAAGGAGGAGCGCGAUGAGCGCAAAGUGGGGCACGACGGAGCUGAACGCUCAGCGUUCUGGAGAGGAAACGCAAACAUCGUCUGAUGGAGUCUCGCGUCGUCGUACAGUACAUCAUCAUUUCUGGCCUCCGUCUCGUCUUCUUCCUUGCUUCCUUGACCUCAUUUCCCUUGUUUGGUUCUUAUUUAUUCCCCUCCUCUCGUUUCCUACUUGCUUCAGUACAGUCAAAAACGCGGUAGUUAACAGGUUUGACCCGAGAGCAAGAAUAAUCAGGGGAGAUGUCAUGUGGGUUUUCAAGGACUUCAUAAGUACAGAUCAGAAAAUCACAGCAAGGCUGAAAAACAAAUAAUUAGUCUGAACUACUGAGAAAGUCGCAGCAACGUGGGAGAAGAAACAGACUAACAAUUAGGAAAAUACAUGACUAACAAACCGUGGUUAACAACAAGAGUUGGAGACGUAAACAGAAAAUGAACCACAGCGCCGCCGACAGGCGGGUUGAGGAACUGCCUCUUCCUUCCUACUGUAGGUGAGUUUUCACAUCCACUGUAAACUUCUCACUUUAUAAUUUAUGUUUAGAGCAGCAGCAGGUCUUUUCAGCGUCGACCGCCUAAGACCUCAUUCUGAAACAACUUUAUUACAUAUUCCAAGUGCAGAUGCUGCAAAACAUGAAACAUUCAGCGGGUUAGAAAACCGCAGCCCUCACAAGCAAAUGAGGGUCCACUUACGCUCGUAUGGGUUCCUCACGCAGCUGGACUCAAUAAACUGUACGACAUCUUCAAACCUCCUCCCAUUGUCAUUAAAUGUAACCCAAGUCUACUUCUUACAUUUGGAAUCUAAAGCUUCACAGAUCAUUCCGCUCCAUCCACCAACGCAGGCUCCGGUCCCUCACGCCUCCCUUUCUCUCGUCCCAGAGCCUCCACUUCGUGCCACACUGAACUCGUUCUCCCACGAUCCAUCAGAGGAAGUCGCAGGCUACGGCUGUGGUCGCCGCAAACCACAUGUGCCUCCAGAGCUGAGCCACAGCGAAACCGGACCAGCCUCUGUCUGCAGCGCUGACUCGAGCUGGGCUGAGAGUAAAUAUAGAGCAGCUCUGUGCUUUAUUGAGUUUGGAGUCAUAUUAAGCUCUGUCUCUCAAAGAGAGAGCGAGAUGACGGAUGACAGGAGACCACCUCCGUGUGCAUGCUGCACCUGAGACGUUACUGUAGCGAGGGUCGAGGAUCAAUCGGCUCGCUGUAACGACCCGGCAGUUAUAGGAUGUAAUCAAAGACCAGUCCACCUCCAACAUCCAGAAGCAGCAGAGGCGUCCUAUGACGGUUCGAUUCCUGCGAGACAUGGAUUUAACCGGCUUUUGGACCGAGCGUCCCUGAACAGUCUCGCUUCGUCCCUGCCUUUGUGUUUCCGUUUGGCAAACAGGUUGGUCACGUACAAGGCCGGCAUCCUGAUGAACACGGCAGCGUCUUUUGAUCAGCUAAUCACUCACCACACACACAAAGCCAGUGUGAUCAGAGAACAAUAUGUCUGCAAACAGCUCCAGCAGGGAUUAGACAAACACAACGAGCGCUAUACAUCGGCCUCUCCAGCACUGUAAUAAAUACAGUACAUGAGCGCCGAUCGUCCAAUCAGGCGGAAGCUCGGGCCCCAAAUUCCCCAAAUGAGGCUCCGUCUGCUGACGCCGGCUCUCAAAUCGAUGGUCGCGGCACGCGUUGCAUUCAAACGCUUCCUUCACAGCUUCCUUGGAGGGAGUCGGAGGAACCGGGCGCAUCCCUCCCCACGUAUCAAUAUUUGAUCACCGGCACAUUCAGCCGCUCUGGUUCCAGAGGGAAUAUGUUGUUGCUACAAGCAAAGCCAUGAUGAGAUCUUGUACAGGACACAGGUUUCUGAUUGGGUUCUGUCUGAGCAGCGUCUCGUCUUCCUGGAAGCAGACGGACAAACGUCCCAACUUUUAAAGUCACGUUACGUUGAGGGAUUUCAGCUUCCAGUCAGUGGCUCAUUGUGUAGGAUGUUAUUUGUGAUUCAGACGGAUCCACCGGCUCUGCCUGUUUGAUCUCAAAACCUCCGGAGUUCCUCGCUACCCCACAAACUAUUUAAGGUCAAUUCAGGGAAGUGACAUUCACUUUAACUCACUCACCGCACUUAAUGUUGAGUAAUCGAGUCUAAUUCAAUUUAAAGAAAAUAAUGAGCAAAUUGAAAAAUGAUCAUUAAUAUGUGAGACUUUUUCAAACAGAAAAUCUGAUGGUGCUAAUAAUAUGAAAGCAAUUUCCUCUGACAGCUGACAAAUGGCUCUGUGGUAAUGAUAUUUCAGAUGGGCUGGGUUCUGCUGCUUUCCACCCGUUUGUACGUGUAUCAUAAGCAUCAUUCUUCCGCCGGUCCGUGAUCCGGUUCUGACCCAUUGUUGGUGCUUAGUCGUGGUCUGCGGUGCCGUUCACUUCCUGGACCGACCGCCGAGCAGGAACGAGCCUCACUCGUCCAUUUCUCCUGCUUCCAACAUCGGGUUUUAGGUUGAAAAUGUCCACGAUGCCGCCACUAACAGGUGCAAUGAUGAAGAGAUAAUUAGUGUUAUUCACGCCUGUCAGUGGUCAGAAUGCUCCAAUACGCCUGGUUGCUUCAUAAAGAAACAACAACCAGACAAAUUAGGCCGUAACAAACCAAACAAACCACAUUUUCAGUCGAGGUCUCGGGGCCGAUUCCAAGAAGUCAAACAAAACUUUUUUAGAGAUUUCCUGUUCGAGUCAGAGCAUCAGCCCAAUUUGGCCCGGUUGAAAAAUCCUUCAAAUCUUUCAGUUCCGUGAAUCUCUCGUGCUUUUCACUGUGUUUUCUGCAGCGUUUGUGUGGCGAGCAUUAAAGCAGCUCCAGUAUUUAGCUCCUCACUUUCCAUAAUGGCCCGCGCUGCAGCCGCGGACGCGAACGCGCCGAGCUCUUUAUAUAAUGGAUGCGCAUUUCCCACCGUCUCGCCUCUCGCUCGCCCCCCGUCUCGCUCUCUCAUCUCUCACUGUCUCACAGACUCGAGCCUGUAAUGACGCCUCACUUCAGGAUGAACACGCUGCCAUUUUUCAUAAUUACAGCCGGAUGCGAUUUUCAUUCAGCCGCCCGGAUGACAUUUCCCAACACACCAACACACACAGGCUUCAGAGACUGAGCCCCCGAGAAAAUGGCCACUAAUAAUAAAUCCAGAUGACUCUCGAUUCAAAACAUGGUGAUGGUCUCAAUUUAAGGCCCUGAAAUAAGAUGUAUAUUAAAAAGACUUAAACCCACAAUCAUAUUUACAUGGAGAGUUAAGCUAUUGGUCGGAUAAUGAAUUAAAAGACACAAAUACAUUUUAUUGUGUUGACUGGAUGAAACAGUCCUGUUCUAAAUAAAGUACGUAGCUUCCAUUUAGUGAUUUAUCUGCUCAUGUUUUUUUUUUUCUACCACUUUAAAGAGCGCUCACAUCUGCCCAUCAAGUGCCCAGAGCCUAAUGGCACACGCCCCAACAGUGUGUUCGUCCCGGAACCCACAGACACGCGCUUUAUUAUAAAACCAGGCAAAUAAAGGCAGCAAAUCUUGGCAUUUAAAAAGGAGCCAGAACCGGCACAUUCUUAGAAGUUUUUUAUUAAAUGCUCCAUGAAAGUUCAUAAGAUGAUCCCCUCCCGAUUUCCAAUAUCUGGUUUAGGACAUUAUUCUCACUCUGCCGGUGACGCUCCUCCGUGACAGCGGUAUUUGUGAGCUGCUUCCGCUGCUGUCAGAAGACAGUGUGAACUCAUUUUCAGCAGUCGUGAAUUUAUUUACUUCUUGUCGGGAAAACUUUCUACAUGAGGCCUGAGAAACUGACAAACCGACUUAUAAACACAAUUACACUUCUCAAAUAGAAGACACCCUCCCCUUUGUCCAAAUAUAAUAGCAGUACCAAAUAUUUGAAGUAAUACAGUUUUGAAUACUUGUUAAUAACUGUAAUUAAUGCUGUGAUUAAUCCUGACCUCAGCUUUGGAAGAGCUGGAGUGUGUUUUUGCUCUGCUGUAGCAGGUCGGUGGCUCCAAUCCUCCAAAUCUCCACGGUCUCCACAUCGUUAGCUUGCAUUUGACGAAACAAGCCGUCGUCUCGUCUUUUUAACCUCCGUGUGAUUGAGGGUGAUCUGUGUUUGUCACUCGGCACAUCAUUUGUUGCCCUUUCGUCCAAAGCCUCAUUGUCCAGUGACUGAGGACACUGUGCUCCCACAAAACUCACUGCUUUAGGCUUUGCUUUGUACCCUGUCUGUGCUCUUUGAGUCUUAUUGUGAAGGUCCCUCCGGCUUCCUGCUUUGCUUUUUAUUUUGAUGCUCACCGUGAAUUGUGGGUCUGUACCUUUCUAAACCACUGUACGUCCAAUCGCGUCACAGUCUGAGCGGGUCUGAAACGGCCCGACAUGACUGUGGGUGCGUGGGCUGAAAACCAGACGAGUUGCUCCUGCGUUGGUCCCAUUCAUCUCCAUGUGACGCUGCAGAAGUCACGAGCUUGUUUCAAGCAGCAGCGUUGUUCAAGUCUCACGUCUCGUUCCUUGAUGGAUGAAGGAUGUAAAGAUCUAUGUUCUGCCAGAUCACUCACAUAUUUGGUCUCGGCGGAGCUGGAUUAGUUCCUUUGAAAAGUCCCAUUCUAAACUUUACUUUUCAAACGUCACGCGGAGGAAAACGAGUCUGAUGAUUUGCCUGCGAAGCUGCAUUUGGGCUGAACGUGGGGUUUACGUUGUUUAUUCUUCUGCUUAGAGCAAAUUAAGCAGAACCGAUGAUUUUGGAGCUUUAACAGACGAGCUCCACUUUUUUCCUUUGCACAAAUGAGAAGUUUCACCCUGAUAAAGCACAGUCGGGCGGCGCCGAAGCACCUUUUUUUCCCCGUCGGCCUCCGCCGCCGUUUGUGGUCUCUAAAUACGCCCGUCCCGCAUCUCAACGCCGGCUCCUUUUCUCCACCUUGUUUUGAGGUCUUUAAAUGCGACGUGAUGAAGUGACAAAACACCGUCAAUCGCAGCGCCUCCCGUGACCACUUGAGAUUCUGGGCUCGUGCCGCCGCGAGAAAACACGGGCGGCUGUGAAGCCAGAGCUUCAACCAGACGCUGCACAGCGAACCUGACCCGACUGCGAAAGCGCCCCGAGACGCUCGCUCUCAACUCUGCUGUUUGUGUGCGUGAGAGUGGUUUGUGAAGAGGCGUUUUGCGGCAAACGCUCAGCCCCGUUCUCAUUCGCUCAGAAUCAAUGCUAAGCUUGUGGAUGCGGACAGCGUAUUCGUCAAGUCUUUCAAUUAGGGUGUAUAAUGCCUCAGUGUUCCGGUCAGGAAUCUGCUUUUUAGACGUAUAAUACAGCGGUAAACACUCUUAUUUACCUCAGUGUUCUCCGUCCUCUGUGCCCUGCAUGGAAUUAGCUGGCCAUUGAUUGCCUCAACAUCUCCCCGCGGUUCUCAGCGUCCUAAUUGGCCGAACGGGGCUUUUAAUGUGCGAUUGUCCGCGUGGGAGAGGCUCCGCGAGCGGCGACGCAGAGGCCUUGAUGUGACAUUUGGUGACAUUUAGCCCUGAAUGUGAGCGACCGCGUCCCGGCACCGAAGGUCAGGCCGCGU